GUACCCUGGUUCAAUCUGAUACCAAAAAAAAAAAAAAAAGGAAUAUGUCUAGCCAAAACAAGAUGACUCUUUUCUUUAAAACUUUACCCCUUUAAGGAAAGGGACUCGGUAGCCAUUAUUUUAGUGCUGCCUUUCCUCACCUACCAAGUGAGGCAAUGAGAUGGCCUCUUCUGAGUCAGGAUUUGAAAUACAAGAUUGCCAGUCAGUCCUUAGGUGUGGUGUGGUGGAAUUUAGAUGAUGUAAAUGUUUCCCCUCUGCCAAAGCACAGAGAAACAAAGAAAGCUGAGAAUGAAAGGGACCACAAAUAGGAAUUGCCAUAAAAAGGAAGAGAUGGCAGGGCCCACAUUCCUGAGGUUUCCUUGCCCCAUUCCUGUCCUUCCUGAGACCUAUUCUCGCAUAAAUUUCUGCCCUUGGAUUAUUCUCCUCAAAACCCAGGGUCUUCUGAAAAUCUUCCAGGUUUUCUGAAAGUGAAUUUCAGAUUUUCAAAAUCAGAGACAGGCAAAUAGAAAUCGUUAUACAAGUGGGGACCAAGAGGAGAAGAGAAGGGCCUAAUGAUGUAGGUCAGUGUGGGGGUCCCCAACGUAGGAAGAGUAGGUAGACCAUUCCUGAAAGGAACGAAGUUUCAGAAGCCAGAAAAGAAACUUCCUGCAAGCAGAGAGGACCAUGUUGUGCUUCUGGCCUCCUUUGAAGCUACCAGGUUCAUGCUGACUAGCUGCCUGGCAAUCCCCAUCUGGCAAUUCCCUUCAGUCUUUCUGGUUGUGAUUGGAACCAGUCAUUGCCAGAAGGCACUUUGUUCCCAUCAAGUGCUGAAGGCCAUAAUAGGCCUGCUUUACUACAACGGGAGGUUGGUCAUAGUCUGACUCGCCCACGUGUCUAGGAAAAGCUGUUUCCAGCUGGUGGUUGUUCUGCCCACCUUCUUAAUCAGCAUGCCACCUUCUGAGUCCCCAUGUUGGUGUGAGGCUUGACUGAGCUUCAGGUAGUUCCUGGAAUCAAUGGCAAUUACCCAUGCCCUGUCCCCUAGGUUACAGAUAUGUGACCAACUUGUCCUGGUCUGCCCAGGACUACUUUUAUUUUUAUUUUUGUUAUGUAUGCAGUAGUAGCAAUGGAAUGUAGGCCUUGUACAUUCUAGGCAAGAGCUACAUACCCAGUCCCAGCCCAUUACUAUCCCAGUUUUAAAGUGGAAAGUCCUACAUUCCAGGAGCCCUCUCAGGCCCUGGAGAACUGGGAGGCUAGUCACCCUAAUUACAUAGACCCCAGGUCCUCAAUGAAAUCCUGCCUGAGCAUUGUACCCUUAAGAUAUCAAUCCAAGCCUAAGGACACCAAAACUCUAAACCCCACCCUCUUAAGAAUUCCCCCUGAGGGCUGGGGUUGUGGCUCAGUGGUAGAGUGCUCACCUAGCAUGAGGCACUGGGUUCGAUCCUCAGCACCACAUACAUGUAAAAUAAAUAUAUUGUGUCCAACUAAAACCUUAAUAAAUUAAAUAAUUAAAAAAAAAGAAUUCCCACUGAAACUGAUUUCUGAAACUACCAUACCUUUCUUUAAGUCUAUAGACAAUUUAGGACUGUCUAAUUAAACAGUUUCAAAAAAGUUUCUAUUAAAUAAUUGGGUGGCCUUGGACAAAUUGUCUAACUUCUCAGUACCUUAUCUGAAAAGUAAUAACACGAAUGGCAUAUUUACCAUGAUUUUGUGGGAAUACUAUCUGGGAACUCCUUUCAGCCUUUCUGAUUGUGUUGGAACCAAAUAUGUCAGAAGACACCUUGUUCCCAUGCUGUCCCGAGGGCCACAGUGUCCCUUCUUUAUUGCCACUGGAGGUUAUAGUUUGUUUCUAAAGAGAAUUUCAUUCUCUCAGCUUUUUUUUUUUUUCCCACAAAGUACUGGGUAUUGAACCUAUCCCUAUCCCUUUUUAUUUUUGUCAUAUUUUGAGAAAGGGUCUGGCUAAGUUGUCCAGGGCUAGCUUUGAAUUGGGAGGCCUCCUCAGCCUCCCAAGUAGCUGGGAUUACAGGUGUGCCACUGUAUCUGACCAUUCUCUUGGCUCUAAUUUUUUAAAUUUUUGAACAAAUAAAAGCCAGUGGUUAUUUUCAUGCCCUCAUCCUGAUCUAGUCACUACCUCCUCCUCCUGGGGAAGAGAGGGGCUCUCUACUGGGUAUACUUUAGAAUGCCAGUAGCAAGGUGUGGACCCUGUACAGGGUAGACGGAAGGCCCAGGCUAUCUCUAGAGGCCUCACCUAAUUCUUGCUCCCUCUGGGCUUCUGAGGUUAGGCCCUCAGCCAGAAGUUAGGAGGGACUGAGAACUCAAAGACAGAAGAGGCACGAGCAUGUUUUGUGUAUGCUGGGUGGGGGCAGCUUAUACCGUCCUUACAGCCACCAGGAGAGGUAAGGUCUGUUUGGUGACAAAGGCAGCCUGGCCCACAUAGAUUUAUUCAUUGUUGUUCACCACUGGGAAGUGUAUACACCAAUGUACGCUUUGUGUGACAUGAUGACAGAAAAUCCCAAAGCCCAGGUGCUGGGUUUCAGACCCUCUGAGGAGAAAACCCCAGGAGUACGUGGAAGUCUCACCACCUCCCUGUGGGCCAGCCAAACCAGGCCAGCUCUCAAAGGCCUCUUGUAACUGUCUUUCUCUCAUCUUCCCCCACUUUGAUAAAUGUCCUGGGAUUAGCCCUUCUGUGUUUAUUGGAUGAGCAAUUUGUAUCUUUCUGAAAAGCUACGUGUGAAUAAUAUUUGGCACAAGCUGAAGAAACAUGAUCCUCAGCAUUUCUCUCCAGCCAGCUUUCUGGAGCCAGCCUGUCUCCUGCCAGCAGAGGUAUUCAGUUCUACAGCUGAGUUUGGCAGCUAAACAUGAUUGUAGGGGGCCAGUGAGGGUGGGUAGAAGGUAGGGGAAGUCCCUAGGGCAGGGCUGGGAACCCAGGGGGUAAAGGGACAGUGCAGUGAAUUGGCCAAUAGUUCUAGAAGUGCUUAUAAUAGUUUAAGAUCAUCACAGAUGCCCACAGCAACAACCAUAACCUGAGGAUAGGGAAACCAGUGUCCCAUGCAGUUCAGGAAUCUGGGUGAUUACCUAGGCCCAGAGUCCCAGGUAUGAAGAGCAGCAGAGGAGGCUCAAGAGAGUCCAGCAUCCAGAUCCUAGAUCUGGUAGGGUAAUUGAUGCUGAGCUCUUGAGGUUUGUGUGAGAUGGGACCUGGUUAGGGGGGAUGUACUGAGGCUAUUUAAAUAUUUCCUGCCUCUAUCAGUGCAGGUCCCAGAAUUGAGGAGGACAGAGCUUGCAGCUAUGGUAGUCAAAGGGUCCAGUUAUGAGGUACUGAGGAGCACAGAGGAAAAAGGAAUUUAGUGAGUGUGUGUGUGUGUGUGGGGGGGGGGUGUGUCAACAACCUCCAGUGACCACAUCCCCCACCCCAAGCCUAUUGCUGUGCCCCCUUGGCACUCUCUAAGCUCUUUUCUUAGGCCCCACAUCGCCUCCCCUUGUAUCCUGGCUUGCUUUCUUCAACAUCUUUCCCACUCUCUUCAAGUCAGAGAUCAGCUCAAAGGUAGGGCACCUUCCCUGUGUCCCUAACAGCAAGCACAGAACUGGCCACUGAGUGGUUUCAUGAGUAAAAGAAUGAAUGGCCAGCCUUCAGUGAGCUCCCAGCACUCAGUGGUCAUAGACCUAUAAGGAGAUAGGAAAUGACAGGUCAGACAGCAGCAAUCAUGCAGGAAAUUGAUUCAGGAGUGAAAACAUGGCCACUAUAACACCAUCUUCAGAGUCUAUGCUGGGCAAAGGCCUGUGUAUAAAGCCAGCUCUUCGUGACAGGAAACUUGAGGCACCUAAGCAGCUGUGCACCCAUCCUGCUGAAGGUCAAAUGUUGUUUCACAUGGUCCUAAGAUUCAGUAAACAGCUUUGGGAUCCCUACCUUGUUCCACACCCCAUAGGACACCAUCUGUCUCUUCUAACAGAAAAAAUAUGUGCACCAUCAAAAGGAGGAACCAUCUGUGCUCUGGCAGAGGCACAGAAGGGGGAUCAUGAAAGUUCAGAAAAAGAAGAGAUUAAUUUCACUAGGAGGAGUCAGGAAGGUUUCAUGGGGAUGGGGUGACAUUAAAACAACACUAGGACAAAGUCUGCAAAUGCACACCAAGGGUGUUGUUUCCCCCCACCCCCACCACUAUCAUCACACACACAGACACACACAAUUUUUGUUUAUUAGGUUGUGUGUGUGUGUGUGUGUGUGUGUGUGUGUGUGUGUUUCCAGUGCUGGCAUGCAGGGCAUUACACUUGCUAGGCAAGUGUUCUUCUGCUGAAUUAUACCCCUAGUGCACACACGCCAAAUUUGGUAUCUGUGGCAGAUUCUGCAAACUGAUCCCUUUAUUCUUUCACUGAGUCCAGUUAUAUCCACAGAAUUCUUUUCAACAUAACUUUCCAUCCUGACAACCAAGAACAUCACAGGAGAAUAAAAUCCACUUGCCUUCCUACACCUUGGGAGGUGUGUACAAUUGAAACAUUCAGAGACUAGAGACACAGUGGUGGGAAAAUGCUGAAUACAAACACUGAUGGUGAGCGGGCUGCUUAGACUUGUGGGGACAGUUUGUGAUUGGGGAACCUGGAUGCCAGGGCUGAGAAACUAGGUUGCAGAAAUAUCUGGAUUCGGGUUUUUGCAGGCUAGGGAAUUUAGGCUUAGGCCUGAGAGAAAGAAGGACUGGCACAACUGUUUUCAGGAAGACAUUCUGGCAGCAGCAGGCAGGGCGGGCUGGGCUGGGAGAAGCUGGUGGACCAGCCAGACAAUCAUCUCAGGCAACAAGUGACGAAACCUCGUCUCAGCUCCUGUGGCACUUGGCAAAAACAUCUGUUCAACACUCAUCCCACUGCCUCUCUUGGAGCUGUCUUUUGACAGCCUGACGGCCACAAGCCUGUGGCUUCCUUAACAGCAGGGACUGUUUGCUGCCUCUCUGGGGCCCCCGGCCUGACACGGUUCUUGGCAGGUGUUCAUUAUAUAUUUGUGAAGUUACUGAAUAGGGCAGUGAAAAAAAGGACAAGGGGUGUACAGAGAAGGGCACAGAUUUCCGGAAUAACAUCCUGUUUAGCAAGUACAGUUCCUAAGGCCUGGGCAUUGGGGCAGCUGUCUUUUGGUGUGUGUGGAGAAGUAAAGGCAUGUGCAGGCAGAUGGCAGGGAAGAAACUACAGUCCACUCCAGUUGGAGUGGGAGUUGCCGUCAACUUCUGUGUGUGUGCAUGCGUGCGUCGGUGUGUGUGUGUGUGUGUGUGUGUGUGUGUGUGUCUGUCUGUCUGUCUGUCUAUCUUGGGGAGGAUCUUGCAAGAACUUCUUGCUUUUCUCAGAAAGAUGGAUGGCCAGGCAGGAGAAUUCACAAUCUACUGUCCUAAGGUACUUUAAGAAGUAUAUUAAAAGUCUUUUUUGGGGCUGGGGAUGUGGCUCAAGCGGUAGCGCGCCUGCCUGGCAUACAUGUGGCCCGGGUUCAAUCCUCAGCACCACAUACAAACAAAGAUAUGUGUCCACCGAAAACUAAAAAAUAAAUAUUAAAAAAAAUUCUCUCUCUCUCUUUAAAAAAAAUUUUUUUUUAAAUCUUUUUUGGUUGCAAAUGGUGGAAACUCAAUGCAAGUGAGCAUGGAGAAAACGAGAUGUUUAUUGUCUCGUAAGAUACAUUUGGGAACAGCCAGAACCAGUGAUUAUCACAGUGCUAACAAUGCGAAGUUCUCCUUCCCUCUCUAAUGUCUGCUUCUCUCUCCACUCACCAGCCUCAUUCUUACAAGCCCAGCUUCCUCCAACAGGCUGGAAACUUGGCAGCCUGGGUCUUCUAUCUGAGAGCUUUUUCCACAGAGAGGCAUCAAAGACUUCCUAUCUCAUGUCUCAAUGUCAGAGAAAUGAUUUUGAUAGGCUCUGUUUUAGCUAGGAUCUUGCCCCUGGCCUAAGACCAAACCUUAGUAGUGGCUAAGGAAGCAGGGCUAUAUAAGGAAGAAAUCAGUUCUACCAAAAGCCUCAUAGUCGUAAUAGGAAAAGGAGCAUUUUCCAGAGGCAGAGCCAGCGAUAAGACCUCUGAGUCCUUUGCAUAAGUUAAUUAUUUUGCACUAUUCCCUUUCAUUUUCAGUCCUGGAGAUAGAACACAGGGUGCUCUACCACUAAAUGACAUUAUUUUCUUAUUUUCUUUUUUGGUUGUUUGGUUUGUUUGUUGAGGCAGGGUCCAGCUAAUUUCCCAGGCUGCCCUUGAAUUUGCUAUUCUCCUGCCUUACCCUCCUGAGAAACCAGGAUUACAGGCAUGCUUUGUGGCACCCAGUUUACUAUUGUAACCUUUUUCUUUUUUCUUCCUCUUGGUACUGGGCAUUGAACCGAGGACCUCACAUAUGUUCCCAACCUCUCUACCAACAAGCUACAACCCCAGACCCGACUGUAAUCUUGACUAUCCUUGGAGAUAUAAUUUCAGGAAACCAAGGCACAGAGAGGAGUAACAAACUGCCAUAAAUCAUCAGUUAAUAAAUGCAACACAAAAUGAACUAGAACAACAAGCAUGUAUGCCAGCGCCUGGUCAUCUCUCACUUCGGGAGCAACAGUCUGGGGACCAGAGCAGCCAGAUUGAGCAUGGUUUGGGAUAUCCAACACCAUUCGUUGUUGCUCUCCAUUUGGUGAUGUUGGCCUUCAUGCCCUGGAAAUGCCCGAUGCUGUCUCAGAAACAAGGAGACGGGGAGCCCUGGAAUAGGAAUCAUCUCUGAAGGAAUGGCAGCUGGAGAAUGACCCAAGUUCAGCCACAGGGAGGCUCUUGGGGUCUUCCUCUCCAAAUACUCUAUGCCAGGCAGCCCCUGGGCAUCCUCUGGUGAGAGGCUCCCCUCUGCCCUUCUUCCCUACCCAGAUCCUUCAAAUCUGAAUCCACAUUUUAAUAAGAUCCUCAAGUAUUUCUCUAAGUCUAUUAAAGUUUGAGAAA